AGUUUUGUUUGCCUCCUUUAACAAGCGUUUGUAACUCUGUCUCCCAGAGAGUGAUGCUGUGCUUUAUGGAAAGCAUCUCUCCAAAAUUGGAGGAGGCUGCGUUUGAAGAUCCUGAGUCUAGGUUUGCUGAGAUGGUGAGAACGUUGUCUUUAUAUGUGUUUGUACUUGGUGUAAAUGUUACAGCAAAUGUUUUUGUGCAGAACAUCAUCUUUUUUGCUCCUGUGUUUGUAGGGAUUGCCAGUUGCAAUGUGAUCACACCGCCUAUUAGGAGAUGCCAGUCAGUCCAGUAGUGCAUCAUGUCUGCUGGACUGACUGGUGCUGUAAGUAUAUUUUCCUGUCAAUCUUCCAUAUUUGACUACUUUCAUUACUUAAGUAUUCUUUGUGUAGAUGAGAAAAACAAAUACAGUCCAUUUGAUUUUACAUGUCUGUCUUUUCUCCCUCUGUUUAUCUGUAUGUGUGUGUCUGGUCCCACUACACAGAUGUGUACAGAUGAUCCGGACUGGCAACAGGAAACUUUCAGAACUGACACUGAGUGACAAGGUAACACAGUAUAGCAAUAGCAACGCCAGCACAUGUUCAGUACUCAAAAUGUAAAGACAUGCACCUAUUUCCUUAUCAAGUAACACUUCUUACUGUUUCUCAGACACAGUCUCAGUCUUUAUGUCUAGGCUGAAAACCUACAUGUUUAGUCAAACCUUUGAUUAUUUGGUGAAUUUGCUUUGAGAGGUUUUGUUUGCCUCCUUUGACAAGCGUCUGUAACUCUGUCUCCCAGAGAGUGAUGCUGUGUUUUCUGGAACGCAUCUCUCCAAAUUUGGAGGAGGCUACGUAUGAAGAUCCUGAGUCUAGGUUUGCUGAGAUGGUGAGAACAUUGUCUUUAUAUGUGUUUGUACUUCUUGUAAAAGUUACAGCAAAUGUUUUUGUGCAGAACAUCAUCUUUUUGCCCCUGUGUUUGUAGGGAUUGCCAGUUGCAAUGUGAUCACACCGCCUAUUAGGAGAUGCCAGUCAGUCCAGUAGUGCAUCGUGUCUGCUGGACUGACUGGUGGUGUAAGUAUAUUUUCCUGUCAAUCUUCCAUAUUUGACUACUUUUAGUAUUGAAGUAUUCUUUGUGUAGAUGAGAAAAACAAAUACAGUCCAUUUGAUUUUACAUGUCUGUCUUUUCUCCCUCUGUUUAUCUGUAUGUGUGUGUCUGGUCCCACUACACAGAUGUGUACAGAUGAUCCGGACUGGCAACAGGAAACUUUCAGAACUGACACUGAGUGACAAGAGAGUGAUGCUGUGUUUUCUGGAACGCAUCUCUCCAAAUUUGGAGGAGGCUACGUAUGAAGAUCCCGAGUCUAGGUUUGCUGAGAUGGUGAGAACGUUGUCUUUAUAUGUGUUUGUACUUGGUGUAAAAGUUACAGCAAAUGUUUUUGUGCAGAACAUCAUCUUUUUGCCCCUGUGUUUGUAGGGAUUGCCAGUUGCAAUGUGAUCACACCGCCUAUUAGGAGAUGCCAGUCAGUCCAGUAGUGCAUCAUGUCUGCUGGACUGACUGGUGGUGUAAGUAUAUUUUCCUGUCAAUCUUCCAUAUUUGACUACUUUUAGUAUUGAAGUAUUCUUUGUGUAGAUGAGAAAAACAAAUACAGUCCAUUUGAUUUUACAUGUCUGUCUUUUCUCCCUCUGUUUAUCUGUAUGUGUGUGUCUGGUCCCACUACACAGAUGUGUACAGAUGAUCCGCACUGGCAACAGGAAACUUUCAGAACUGACACUGAGUGACAAGAGAGUGAUGCUGUGUUUUCUGGAACGCAUCUCUCCAAAUUUGGAGGAGGCUACGUAUGAAGAUCCUGAGACUUUGUUUGCUGAGAUGGUGAGAACAUUGUCUUUAUAUGUGUUUGUACUUGGUGUAAAAGUUACAGCAAAUGUUUUUGUGCAGAACAUCAUCUUUUUGCCCCUGUGUUUGUAGGGAUUGCCAGUUGCAAUGUGAUCACACCGCCUAUUAGGAGAUGCCAGUCAGUCCAGUAGUGCAUCGUGUCUGCUGGACUGACUGGUGGUGUAAGUAUAUUUUCCUGUCAAUCUUCCAUAUUUGACUACUUUUAGUAUUGAAGUAUUCUUUGUGUAGAUGAGAAAAACAAAUACAGUCCAUUUGAUUUUACAUGUCUGUCUUUUCUCCCUCUGUUUAUCUGUAUGUGUGUGUCUGGUGGAGUCCCACUACACAGAUGUGUACAGGUGACUCUGACAGGCAACAGGAAACUUUCAGAACUGACACUGAGUGAAAAGGUAACACAGUAUAGCAAUAAGAACACCACAACAUGUUCAAUACUCAACAUGUAAAGACAUGCGUCUGUUUCCUUAUCAAAUAACACUCCUUACUGUUUCUCAGACACAGUCUUACUCUGUAAGUCUAGGCUGAAAACCUACUUGUUUAGCCAAACUUUUGAUAAUUUGGUGAAUUUGCUUUGAGAGGUUUUGUUUGCCUCCUUUAACAAGCGUUUGUAACUCUGUCUCCCAGAGAGUGAUGCUGUGUUUUCUGGAAAGCAUCUCUCCAAAAUUGGAGGAGGCUGCGUUUGAAGAUCCUGAGUCUAGGUUUGCUGAGAUGGUGAGAACGUUGUCUUUAUAUGUGUUUGUACUUGGUGUAAAUGUUACAGCAAAUGUUUUUGUGCAGAACAUCAUCUUUUUUGCUCCUGUGUUUGUAGGGAUUGCCAGUUGCAAUGUGAUCACACCGCCUAUUAGGAGAUGCCAGUCAGUCCAGUAGUGCAUCAUGUCUGCUGGACUGACUGGUGCUGUAAGUAUAUUUUCCUGUCAAUCUUCCAUAUUUGACUACUUUCAUUACUUAAGUAUUCUUUGUGUAGAUGAGAAAAACAAAUACAGUCCAUUUGAUUUUACAUGUCUGUCUUUUCUCCCUCUGUUUAUCUGUAUGUGUGUGUCUGGUCCC